CUAUUUGUGAGUAGGAAUUCGUGCAUGCUAAGAAUCCAAUCCAAGCAACACCACACCUACAAUCCCGAAAGUCCUUUUGGUAAUCUUCCUGGGUAUUUCACUUGGUCCGAACCUGCUUAAGAAACACCCGAUAAAUAGCGCUUAGAGGAGCUUGAUAUUCUAUUUUCUCUGCAAAACCAACCAUUCUUUUCACCUGAUUCAAGCACCAGCUGAACAUUUUUCCAAGUUUUUCUAGAGUGAAAUUCUAUGGAGGAUGAUGCUUGGAGCUUUGGUUUUUCUACUUCUUCAAGGGCCUACCGAUCAACUAAUCUUUGUAUAGAUUGGGAGGAGGUUGAAGCGGACGAUGAUUUAAAAGCAGAAUAUCCGUGCCCAUUUUGUCCAGAGGAUUUUGAUUUGGUUGGGUUGUGCUGCCAUAUUGACGAGGAGCAUCCUAUAGAAGCAAAUUAUGGGGUAUGUCCUGUUUGUGCUACAAAAGUGGGUAUGAAUAUGGUUGGGCACAUAACAACACAGCAUGGGAACUUUUUUAAGAUAUCCUUUAUUUUCUUAUUCAACUUCAGAAUUCAUCUACCGAUCAAGCCUUUCUAGAUUUACCAGCCAUUCUUUAUGUUACAGAGUGUUUUCUCAUCAUUUUCCUUCUCUAAAAUUUUGAACUGCUUAUCUCCUAUUUCAUAUUUGUUAAUAUGCUGGGAUGAAAGUUAAAAUUAUUGUCUGGUUUCCUUGACUUGAGAUUACAAUUGGCACAAGUUGAAACUCUGUAAGGGUGAGUCUUAUUCAACUUUUUCUUCUUCAAGAAAGGAAUUUCAGAAUGGACAUUUCCAAUCUCUUCUUGCCGGGUCAUCCCCUGUGGUUUCUACCUCUAAGAUGGCACCUGAUUCGUUGCUGUCAUUUCUUUACAAUGGGCCUGCUGCUGUCAAGUCUGAAAGUGUGCAGCCUGAUUCUUCAACUGAAGUAAGCAUGGAAGAUGAAAAUUCUGAUGAGUCGAGAAAUUUUCAAGUUCCUUUAUCAGACAAGGAAAAAGAGGAGAAAUCAAGGAGAUGCGAGUUUGUACGGGGCCUGUUCUUGUCCACCAUCUUUGAUGACAGCUUAUGAAUGGGAUACAAUAUGGUGUUUGUUGCCAGUUUCCCUAAUUUUAAGAGAGAUGUUUAUCAUCCAUGCUGUUUGUCGAAUAUUCUGGUACCUUUGAUAGAAAGAGCCAAGUUAGACAUAGGGAAUUCAAUGUAAUGCUCGUUGUUAGUCAAAUGUAAUUAGCAAGGCCCGCAUGGACCAGACUCUCGUUUCACGUAUCUCAAAGUUUUAAGUGCUAGUGAAAAUAUUUACAGUGAAAUUCCUGCUACUCGGUUUAGGUAUAA